UCACCAUCAUCAGUGGAUGCCUUUGCCGUCCGUAGCCUGAGAUUUCAGAUUUGCAGCAAAAAAAAUUUGAUUUUCUCCUUUAUUGGAAUGCUGUGCAGGUAUUUGUACCUUGCAGCCUUCCAUUACAAUGUCACCAAGCCGUAACAAAAGCAGGAGAGGGAAAGUACAAGGCUAUGUUCCCAAAACACACAAGUGACAUACCUUAUGUGGAGGAUGUGAUCAGGCUUGUGUUUGAUGAGGUAUUUGAAGAUAAGCUGAAGGAAGCCCUGAUUCCAAUGGACCUGGCAUCACAGUUUGAGAGACCUUCAAAGGAGGACGUGAUUGCAUGCCAUCUUCAGUGCAGAGGUCGUCGAAAGCCAAAAUUGUGACCAAUCUGAUCAGGAAGCUCCAAGCGUAUCUGGAGAACAACACACGACAGGAUGAUAACCUUAUAGUGUCGUCUUAAAUAGCACCAGCUGACAAAGCUUUGAUAUGCCAUUUAUCUGAAUAGAUAGCUGUAAGAAAUGAAUUGAACAAUUUUUGAAACAAGAGCACAAUAUGGUUACUAAAGUAUGUUUAUUUAUAUAUUGUUUAACAUUUAAAUAUAUAUUUGUAAUAAAUAAAAAAAACUUUUGACUGACUAUUAUAUUUUGUUUAAAGUUACAUCUUUUGUUCUUUUGGGUACUUUGUUACUAUAAUGAUACUUUAGUGUUAUUGGUUUAAAAAUGUAAUAAAACUUACUCUAGUCCUGCACCUCAAAGGCUUAUAGUCGGUACAAUAAAUGUUCUGUGUGUAGGGAUUUAGACAAUUUGUGCAAAACCUGGAUGAUGAAUCACGCAGGUAAGAGGCCCUGGAACCUGUUGCAUUCUCCUUAAAACCUAAUAAGUAAAAACAUAGCACUUAUAAGUAAGCAGUCUUUCAUAAAAAAGUUUACCAUAGUAAAAUAAUGUAGAA